rnacentral:snRNA from 1 species
GUGCUCGCUUCGGCAGCACGUACUAAAAUUGGAACGAUACAGAGAAGGUUAGCAUGGCCCCUGGGCCAGGAUGACACGCAAAUUUAUGAAUCGGUCCAUGUUUUC